UUCCAAUGGACAGCGUGACUCCACAGAAAACCACGCCGUUCCAUGACAAGAAGGAGGAAAACACCGUCAGCUCACGGUGCGGCAGCGUGGAGACCUGCCGUAAUGCGAUCACAUACACAGCGAUGUGCGCGAGAACAGUUCAGGCAUUGGACCGAUUGUUCAGAGCAAAAAUAACAUGGCA
rnacentral:ncRNA from 1 species